rnacentral:rRNA from 1 species
AUUGAACGCUGGCGGCAGGCCUAACACAUGCAAGUCGAGCGGAUGAAGGGAGCUUGCUCCUGGAUUCAGCGGCGGACGGGUGAGUAAUGCCUAGGAAUCUGCCUGGUAGUGGGGGAUAACGUCCGGAAACGGGCGCUAAUACCGCAUACGUCCUGAGGGAGAAAGUGGGGGAUCUUCGGACCUCACGCUAUCAGAUGAGCCUAGGUCGGAUUAGCUAGUUGGUGGGGUAAAGGCCUACCAAGGCGACGAUCCGUAACUGGUCUGAGAGGAUGAUCAGUCACACUGGAACUGAGACACGGUCCAGACUCCUACGGGAGGCAGCAGUGGGGAAUAUUGGGCAAUGGGCGAAAGCCUUAUCCAGCCAUGCCGCGUGUGUGAAGAAGGUCUUCGGAUUGUAAAGCACUUUAAGUUGGGAGGAAGGGCAGUAAGUUAAUACCUUGCUGUUUUGACGUUACCAACAGAAGAAGCACCGGCUAACUUCGUG